rnacentral:RNase_P_RNA from 1 species
UUUUGACAAACGCUGUAUUUUUUAUAAUAUAGAGGAAAGUCCAUGCUCACACUAUUCUGUGAUGAUAGUAGUGUUCGUGCUUAGAGAAAAAAUAAUCUAAGGUAACAAUUUUUUUGUUAACGGCGUCGAGUUAACCUAAAUCGUUAGACAUGGUUAAAUUAGAUGUAAAGUGCCAAAGUGACGAAUUUUUUUAGAAAUAAAAAAAGUGGAACGUGGUAAACCCCGCGAGUGAGAAACCCAAAUUUUGGUAGGGGAACCUAAUAAGGAAGAAUUAAGAAUUUCUUAUGGGAUUGCAAAUGUAAUAGAUAAAUGUUUGUCGCCUAGAAAUAGGAACAGAACAUGGCUUAUAA